UCCCCGCCUCUGUCUGGAGAGAUCAAGCAGGACCUCCUGGCACCGUCCGGUCUAUGCAGGGAGCAGCAGUGUCCUUUCCAGGUAAAGGGUUACAGUUGCUAAACCAGUCAAGCCCAAGCCAGGCCGGGCAGCCAGGAGUCUCUGGGGCAGCCGUCCACACCACACCUCCCGGGUCAGGGCAGGAGGCUGCAUCAGGAAGCGCUCCAGCCCUCCACACACCUGUGUGAGCACCCAGGGCAAAGGCAUGUCCCAGGAAGACCCCCGGCUGUGGCCACUGAGUGGAAGACGGACUGUGGCAGCUACACUCUACGGCACUCACGGGCACUCAGGUCAGGUCCUUCCUCAGGACUUCCUGGCCCAGGGGAGAGCACACAUGAACUUGAGUCAUCACUCUGGUGACACAAACCAGGGAGCACCCGGGACCUGACAAGCCACAAAGAGGAGCAUUUGAGCAGCGCCUUGAAGAAUGAACGCAGGACCCUGUGGCUUUCGUCUGAAGCAGCCGUGCCAGGCCCAACUCCAGACAUCACGUGGGCACACACAGUUCCGGAAACGGUCCUUUCCCUUGACAUCAUUAAAAACCAAAACUUCCUCAGGAAACCAUUGUUCACACUGGCUUUCUUUGAAC